UCAUGAAGUAGAUUUAAUUACUUUGGUACUUGAGUAGUUUCCGGAUACGAGUUUAUUUUCGGACGUAAAAUGAUGGGCCUGAUCGUUACAUUGCACCCCGCUCACAUGGAUUUAGCCCCUGAAUAGUAGGAAGUGAAUAGAGAGCUUGGUGUAUUGGUUAGUUGGUCACCUGGAGAAGCGGUUAUUACUAACUGCUCAUCUAAACAGAAGUAUACUUCAUUACAUCCUCAGCCUAAAAUACACUCCUUACAGUGGGACACUGUACAAUCAUGGCUGGUUUGUCAUAUUACGGGAAAAAGGACCACUCUGAUGUGCAAGCAGAGGAACGAUGGUGUCCACCUGAAGUCAAUAUUUUUGAACAACAGGGAGCGGGUUAAAAUGUCCACCAGAUGAACAGGCAGUUGGGUAAACAGCUGUUCAAAUGGGAGCAGGAAGGGGGUCCACCUGAAACUCAUCAAUGUAAAGGGUUGAUUUGUAACAAGGAGCGGUGUAUUUGGAAUUCCAUGUCUUCAUUUUUGUUAAAUAUUCAUCAGCUGGAUUGGUAAGAAUAGGUUGGCCAGACAAGAAUGCAGUCAGCAAUGGGCAUUCAAAUAAGGCUAUAAUCAUGCACCCAACCAACAAGUAAACUUGUUUGAUUGAAUGGUCAGCACCUUGGAAGAUCAAAAAUCUGGAUCAGCAAAUGAAAUGAACUAUGAUACAUAAAUAAUAAAAUGUUCUGUCUCUUGGUUUCCUGGUUAUUUCCCUGUAAUGGUAAAGCAGACAACUGUUAAUGGUUGAUGAUGGAUCAAUCUGGAAAAUCUCAUAAAAUCAUUGGAAUCCCACUUCUGACACCAGUUGAAACGUACCCGGGGUCUGCUAGCCCGGACAUACUUCAAUAUCGACACGUGGGUUCUUCUCAAACACACGUAAAUGGAUAAGGGAAAAUAGGGACACAAGGACUAAAAGAUACGGACACCUGAAAUAAGAUUAACACAACAAUUUAUUAAAUUUACAUUUCACAAACAAUAAAAUUGGUAUAUAGUAUAUUCUUUGGAUGGCUCUGGCUUGGGCUCCUCGUCUUAGGUCAGGAAUAUUCUUCUGUUACGUCUAGAAUAAUGUAUAAUAUAAGAUGUAAAGAAAGGCUUGACAAAUACGGUGUCACGUCUUGCCUGUGGUCUGGUACAAAUUCUAUGGUAGGAAUUACCAUGAAAUGCUAUAAGGUU